UACGGAGGGGGCUAGCGUUGUUCGGAAUUACUGGGCGUAAAGCGCACGUAGGCGGCUUUGUAAGUCAGAGGCGAAAGCCCGGAGCUCAACUCCGGAAUUGCCUUUGAGACUGCAUCGCUUGAAUCACGGAGAGGUGGGUGGAAUUCCGAGUGUAGAGGUGAAAUUCGUAGAUAUUCGGAAGAACACCAGUGGCGAAGGCGGCCCACUGGACGUGUAUUGACGCUGAGGUGCGAAAGCGUGGGGAGCAAACAGG
rnacentral:rRNA from 1 species